rnacentral:lncRNA from 1 species
ACUGCAGAGUCUUGGUUAGGGAUGCAGGGAGACCCAUCCCUCCAUCCCAGGCCCUAAUGCUCUACCUAACCUCUGUAGCUGUCAAGCUGAGAAUAUGGAUGGGAUGUUGAAGAGACUUGAUUGCCUCGAGCUGGCAGGACAGACUACUGGAGAGAUGGGAGACAACAUCUCAAGUCUGAAUUCAAAGGGAGACCUGCAGAAAUGUCCACUCUUGUGUACUCUGUAAAGCACUGAACUGUGUCUCAAUACCUUAGGCUGGGAAAGAAUCAAAUG